rnacentral:lncRNA from 1 species
UCUCGGUCUCGCGAUGCCUCUCAGAUUCAAGCCAUCUCGCGUUGUGGGGCUUGUUGACCUUCACAAUCUGCUCUGAAUAUGGCUUAAGAAAUCGAUUCAACCUGAGACGAUGAUACAUGCUUAAGAGAAGAUAGAUAAUUUUGUAUAGCGGUGCAAUUGCAAUGCAGUGGUGGUGCCCGCAGUCAUGACGGUGGUGGUCGCUGUCGCCGUCAAGUCCAAGCGAAAAAGCAGCGGUGAGGAUGCGGAGAAGAUAGACAAUUUUGUAUAUAUAUAUUUUUUUUUUUGUCAAAUAAACAAUUUUGUAUUAGGUUUAGGUUAUUUUUGGGCAAUUUUCUCAAAUAGCAUUUUUAAGUUUUUGUCACAAAAAUAGCUCCAAAAUACUAAAAUAGCCUCUUUUUAAUUUUGAAAAUUUUUAUUUUUAUUUUUAUUUUUUUUAAAUUUAAAACUCUAUCCCCAAAAUUUUUCCCUUUAAUUUUAAACAUAUUUCUAGAUUAGUUAGUUGUGUUAAGAAAAAUCUAGAUUAGUUAAUCCUAUGGUAAAAAUGUACUUUUACUAUUUAAUAAAACUAUUUUUGGUCAUUUUUCUCGUUGAAAGUUAUUUCUGUGAGAAAAACUUAAAAAUGCUAUUCUAGAAUAUUUUUUUUUCUUUUAUUUGGUUUAGUUUUUUUAGUAAACCAGAUGUAAUUUGUAAACCAAUUUUAG